GGGGGCAUAGCUCAGUUGGGAGAGCAGCAGACUGAAGCAAAUCACAUGCUUUCUGAAGGUCCCGCGUUCAAUCCGCGGUGCCCCCA